UGUGCUCGUAGCUCAAUUGGAUAGAGCGUCGGCCUCCGAAGCCGAAGGUUGCAGGUUCGACUCCCGCCGAGCACGU
rnacentral:tRNA from 1 species